UUGAACGCUGGCGGCAUGCCUUACACAUGCAAGUCGAACGGCAGCACGGAGCUUGCUCUGGUGGCGAGUGGCGAACGGGUGAGUAAUAUAUCGGAACGUACCCUGGAGUGGGGGAUAACGUAGCGAAAGUUACGCUAAUACCGCAUACGAUCUACGGAUGAAAGUGGGGGAUCGCAAGACCUCAUGCUCGUGGAGCGGCCGAUAUCUGAUUAGCUAGUUGGCGGGGUAAGAGCCCACCAAGGCAUCGAUCAGUAGCUGGUCUGAGAGGACGACCAGCCACACUGGAACUGAGACACGGUCCAGACUCCUACGGGAGGCAGCAGUGGGGAAUUUUGGACAAUGGGCGCAAGCCUGAUCCAGCAAUGCCGCGUGAGUGAAGAAGGCCUUCGGGUUGUAAAGCUCUUUUGUCAGGGAAGAAACGGCGUUUUCUAAUACAGAAUGCUAAUGACGGUACCUGAAGAAUAAGCACCGGCUAACUACGUGCCAGCAGCCGCGGUAAUACGUAGGGUGCAAGCGUUAAUCGGAAUUACUGGGCGUAAAGCGUGCGCAGGCGGUUUUGUAAGUCUGUCGCGAAAUCCCCGGGCUCAACCAUGGGAAUGGCGAUGGAGACUGCAAGGCUAGAGUUUGGCAGAGGGGGGUAGAAUUCCACGUGUAGCAGUGAAAUGCGUAGAUAUGUGGAGGAACACCGAUGGCGAAGGCAGCCCCCUGGGUCAAAACUGACGCUCAUGCACGAAAGCGUGGGGAGCAAACAGGAUUAGAUACCCUGGUAGUCCACGCCCUAAACGAUGUCUACUAGUUGUCGGGUCUUAAUUGACUUGGUAACGCAGCUAACGCGUGAAGUAGACCGCCUGGGGAGUACGGUCGCAAGAUUAAAACUCAAAGGAAUUGACGGGGACCCGCACAAGCGGUGGAUGAUGUGGAUUAAUUCGAUGCAACGCGAAAAACCUUACCUACCCUUGACAUGGACGGAAUGCCGAAGAGAUUUGGCAGUGCCCGAAAGGGAGCCGUCACACAGGUGCUGCAUGGCUGUCGUCAGCUCGUGUCGUGAGAUGUUGGGUUAAGUCCCGCAACGAGCGCAACCCUUGUCAUUAGUUGCUACGAGAGGGCACUCUAAUGAGACUGCCGGUGACAAAUCGGAGGAAGGUGGGGAUGACGUCAAGUCCUCAUGGCCCUUAUGGGUAGGGCUUCACACGUCAUACAAUGGUACAUACAGAGGGCCGCCAACCCGCGAGGGGGAGCUAAUCCCAGAAAGUGUAUCGUAGUCCGGAUUGUAGUCUGCAACUCGACUGCAUGAGGUUGGAAUCGCUAGUAAUCGCGGAUCAGCAUGUCGCGGUGAAUACGUUCCCGGGUCUUGUACACACCGCCCGUCACACCAUGGGAGCGGGUUUUACCAGAAGUAGGUAGCUUAACCGCAAGGGGGGCGCUUACCACGGUAGGAUUCGUGACUGGGGUG
rnacentral:rRNA from 1 species